GUCUAAGAAAUACAAAACUCUGUGCUGGUGUGGAGUUCAGCAUGACCGGGAAACAGAGCAGGAUUACCUUGACAGUGGCAGUGCCUGGAAACAAGGGGUUGAAUCUGGCCUACAGAAUGGACUCAAGCAAGACACCUUGGCUCAGAUUCCAGGCUACAACCCUAAAGAAAAAAGCUACAGCAACAGUGUGCCGGAGAAGACCACUUAUUUCUAGGACAAUACAUGCGACAGAUAUCUUUACACACAUGCAUGCAUGUACUUCAUGUCACUUCUUGUUAUAGCCUUGUGUACAGAUUCUUGUCAGAAAAGAGGGAUGUCCAGUACCUAUUUAUACUUAUUUAUAGAAGUGAUAUGACUCAGGAUGUUCUUUGGGAAGACCAAAUUCAGGUGAGAAAAAUCAGCUAAGGCCUGAAGUGCUUCGUGCCACAUAACUCAACAGGACUGAGUUUGAUUGUGAUGAAAGGAGUUAAAGUUUCCUUGAUUCUUGUCAAAUUAGAACUCUGGGUUUAUUGUCUAUUUAUUUGUAGGCUUUUGUUUUGUUUUGGUGCUGAGAAUUAAGCACAGGUCCUUGCUCUUGCAAAAUAUCUGCCUGACCACUUACCCUAGUCUACCUUCUAAAGUUUUAACCAUCAGAACAUCGUGGUGAGUUAGAGGACAAACAUAAAUGGGAAUCUGCACCUUCAAUGCUGCUCUGACAAGGCUGAUAAAAUAGGAAUGACAUCUUCUCAAAGCUCACAUCUCACAUGUAUGUCGACAUGUAGACAGAACCAUGCCCACCUUGUGGCCACAGCUAGAACACUUUACUUCUCUGAGUAUCCUCACAGUGCCUCUGUUAUGCAUUCCAUUAGUCAUUUCUGCUGAGCUAUUAUGACCACACUUUAAGGGCAAUUGCACUAAAUACAAGGGGAGAAAAAUGAGUUUUCACAGUGGGAGCCAUCACAUAUAAAUAUACUAUUCACUUUGUGUUGUUAAAGCAAUGUUUCUUAAUUUCUGUCAUUUAAAAAUGAUAAAUUGGAGCUGGACAGAUGGCUCAGCAGUUAGGAGAACUUGUUACUCUUCCCAAGGACCUGUGUUCAAUUCCCAGCACCUAAGUUGAGUAGCUUAUAACUGCCCAUAAUGGUAGCUCUCGAGGUAAUCUGAUAUCUUUUUGUGACCUUCCUUGACAUUCACAUUCCUGUGCACAUACUUGCACAUAGAUGCAUAUACAUAAUAAAUAAUUAAAACAUUUUAAGUGGAAAAAGUCUAUGCAUAUCCAGAAGUUAAGAAUCGCAUAUACAAAGUUUAAUAAAGGGGAAGUCGGGAAGUCAUGCUUUAUUGAAAGCUGUGAGGUCAGACAGUAUAUUUUAAACGAACCCUGAAAGAACAUAUCAUUUACAGCAGAGAUCAUUAGCCAUAGAGUCUUACAAAUUAUCCAAAGAACUCAUCCAGGUCACAUAUGCAAGCUUAAGUCACACCCUCAGAUGCAAGCACUAUAUUAGUUUUAGUCUGUAUAACAACUUCAAAGUUCUGGAGCAGAACUCAUCCAAACUGAACAAAUAUGCCUUUAUGUAGGAGCAGAGGGAAAUUUGAAAAAAACC
rnacentral:lncRNA from 1 species